GUUAGGGGGCGCUUGGUCGGUAGGGGUGUCCUUGUCUCAUCGCGCACCAGCGACUCCUGUGGCGGGCUGGGCGCAGUGUGCGCUAACCAAGGUGGCCAGGUGCACGGUGUUUCCUCAGGCGCAUUGGUUCGGCUGGCUUCCGCGUGCUGUGUUAAGAAGCAGUGCGGCUUGGUUGGGUUGUGUAUCGGAGGACGCAUGACUUUCAAACUUUGUAGCGAUGAGACAAGAUAGUAGCCACUACAACAACACCACGAAACUGGGGAGAAAAAGGGGUAAAAAAAAAACAAGACAUUGCAUUUCUCCACGACAGACCGGGCGAGAGAAAACAAGAGAUCCCCUUUCGUUAAAGGAUAUAGGGCCUGGUUAGCCCUGACCUGCAUCCGUUUCCAAUUCCCCUACGCCAUGACAUUCUUGCACGCUCCAUCAAAGCUCCGUAAAUUUUCCCUCCAUGGGUAGAUAAUCUGUCCGGCAUGUAGGUCCUAAUUAAUAAGAUGGGUAGAAAAUUAAUCUGUUUAAGUCAUAAGUAAAGUCCUUUCAUAAAGAGGCUGUCAUGAUUGACUGUGACACAUAUUUAACACGUAUUGCUUGUUAACAAAGACUACUGUUGUACAUUGAAUAUCCACUAGCAGAUUGUUGUUGGAUCUCCACUAUAUCUGUCAUGUUACUGUGGUCUUUUUAAAAGUCAAUAAACAUGUGUGUAGAUUAUACACUUUUGACCCCCCCCCCCCCCGGAGUACAUGCAACGAACAUCCAUAGGC